CCACUUUCGGAUAAAAAUUUAUUAAGAUGAAAAUCUUUUGUUUGGGCUUAGGCCAGUUUCAGUUCCCCAAGGCCCAAAAAGAGCAUUGUAGUAGCAGUCUAGCAGAAAAGAGGAAAGCAGCUGCACUGGGCCUUGUUGCAAGCGGAAGGAAAAUGAUGUUGAGUCGGCGGGUGGCCGCAGCACUGCCGUUCCGGUUCGCCGCUCCUGCCGCGAACCAAGUUCCCAUGCCAAAGCACCACCUUCCUCUUAUAUCCUUCCAUCCCGAAAACGUUGCCGUUUUAUGCUCCAGAUCCAACUCCAGCUUAAGUCAACAAUCGGAAACGGAGCAUGUUGACUACUCACUGUUUCGGACGCAGCAGACUAACCUCAAACCAGGCCUUUAUCUCGUUGGAACACCAAUUGGAAAUCUCGAAGAUAUCACCUUUAGGGCUCUUCGCGUGCUGAACUCUGCAAAUGUGAUUCUCUCGGAAGAUACGAGGCACUCUGGCAAGUUGCUUCAUCACUACAACAUCAAAACUCCCCUCAUGAGUUAUCACAAGUUCAACGAGUCGCAAAGGGAGCAACUUGUGUUGAAGAGGCUCAAAGAAGGCGAGAUUGUGGCCCUCAUAUCUGAUGCUGGAACUCCAGGCAUCAGUGAUCCUGGCAUGGAAUUGAAUGGAUUAGUGCAGGCCAAAUUAUGUAUUAGUGAAAAUAUCCUUGUUGUUCCAAUCCCUGGUCCCUGUGCUUUGGUAUCAGCUCUUUCUGCUUCGGGUUUGCCUACUCACGAGUUCACAUUUGUUGGUUUUCUUCCAAAGCAUUCAGGAUCAAGAAGGAAGAGGCUUAUGUCUUUGGCAGAUCAAACAGCUACACAGAUAUUUUAUGUUCCUCCUCACAAGCUUUCCCAAUUUCUUGAAGAGGCUUCUUCUAUAUUUGGUGAUGCAAGGCAAUGUGUCAUUGCUCGGGAAAUGACCAAGUUACAUGAAGAGGGUGAGUUAUGGUGCCUUCUGUGUUGGCUAGCUGCGAUCUGUGGCUAGCGUGGCUAUGGGAGCCUGACCUGUGAUGAUACGACACAUGAUGGGUUGACUGGCGAGUUGGACCACAGGACUCCAGGUUUGAAGGACGGUAACUCUCCUAAGGAGGACGGUAAUUAUGAAUGUCUGUGCUUAGCCUUGCCAUUUAGUUAAACUUGUACAAAAAUAAAGGAAACUACUUGUGGAAAUUAAAUUAAGCAAAGAAGUAGUGAUGAAAGAAAAAAAAAAACUUGAUGAAAGAAGUAAAUUUUGAAGAAAAUGAAAAUAAAAAAUAUCAUGAAUGAAACUUAAGCGGCAGAGAGAGCCCUGAACGCUGGCUUCCAUGGAAGAAAACGUAAGGUUCCGACUGUCACAGGUGUAGGUGACUGGCUUGUUCCGAUCGGAAUUUUCUGGCUGUGGCGAAGGGAGGACCUUCUGGCAACAGUAGGAGCUGGUUUUGUCAAGGGGUCAGGAAUUUGUUUUGUAAAUGGAAAGUGAUCUGGAAGGGGACUUCGAUUUUUUAGGCCAUUGGACGAAUGAGUGGAGCUCGGACUCCGGGGAUGAGGAGCAGGAGAUGGAUGGGCUCGAUGUAUGGCAUCAGAGGAAAGGGAGACUGAUAUGUGUUAUGAAAGAAGCAAUCCUACCCCACGGUAAAAGAUGCAAAAUUAUCCGUGCUUAAUUUGCUAAACAUGCCUUAAGGAAACUAACUACGAAGCCACGCGUCAGCAUCCCAUUGGACGCUCAUCUUAUAGCCACCGCUAGCCACGACUACCGUGGCCACCAGAGACGCAGCCUUAUUUCUUUUGGCGUGGUACGGUAAGAGAGGCCAAGGAAGUCUUUUUGAUGCGGCAGCCGAAGGGAGAACUAACCAUAUUGAUUGAAGGGCAAACAAGUUCUAAAGUGGAACCUCCAUCAGACAGUGAGCUUGAAGAUGAACUAAGAGAAUUGAUUGCAAGUGGCGAGACUCUAUCCACGGCUGUGAAAUUGGUUGCUGGCAGAACAUCAGCGAGUAAAAAGACUAUAUAUUCACUUGCAUUAAAAACAUUUGGAAAGCAGCUUCAAGGGGAAGACGAUUCAAACUAGUGGCAACUUUUUAUAUGGUAAGGUUGAUGUUACUGUGCUACUGUUUUAUUCAUGCCUUUUCUGGUGGCUCAAUCCAUCAAUUGGGAUCGAUGGUGUUCUACCAAAAGGAACGAUUUUCCACCCUUGUUGAAGCAUUAGUAGUGAUCAUAUCUACAAUGAUUUGAUUGGUCUCCUAGAGUGCAAGUUGUUGCCUUGGCUCUCCAGGGUCCAGUAGCAAAAAAUUGGUUGUAACGUAGGCGAGGAAAAUCCGAAAAUGUCAAGGCGUAAUUUCUUAUUUAUUUUUGUAACCAAUUUGCUUCAUCUGAUUGUGGUGAUUGGCGAAACGGUGUUGUAUUUAUCUGCCCUGAAUUGAACCUCUGUAUUAUGCAGAAUGCUAAAUUCGAAUGUACAUAUUGGACGAC